rnacentral:lncRNA from 1 species
UUAGGGUUAAUGAACUUUGGGUGAGAAUUUGAUUUUCUCCCCCUUUGUUCGUGAAUGGGAAAUUAUGGGUUUCGUCCCAGAGAAAUCGAGCUUAAAGAGUUGAAAUCAUGCUUGGUCGGUUCAAAUCAAGUGGGAAUCAACCCGGAUAUAAUCAUACAAAACCAAAAAAAUCGAUUUGGGAUUCUUUCCUGGGCACGGGAUCGAUCGAUCUAUCUUUACAGAUCGGUCGAUCUGUAAGGAAUCGAUCUUCGCCGAUCGAGUGAAAUGGACCAGGUCAAUCAGUAUAUAUUUCGCGUUUUUUUGUUCUGAAUAAUGAUCGGGAUCGAUCGAUCCACUGUAACUUGUAAAGCGAGAUCGAUCGAUCCCGCUUGUCGAACUCAUUAUUUAUCUUUUUAAAAAAAAUUACAAUUUUAAGGGCAUUACUGCCAUUUUCGAAAAAAUUAGUCUAAUCUCUACUAAUAAAAGGGAGCUUUUGAGGCUCCAUAGGGCGUCCACAUCAGCGGAAAAAAAUUAUCCCGAAAGAUGACACGUGGCAUAAAAUAUAGUUUUACAUUUUAAUAUUAAUUAUUUUCGAAAAUUGUAAAAAAUAUGUAAACAUACAGCAUUAAAAAAUGGAAGCGUCCACAUCAGCGGAAAAAAUUUAUCCCGAAAGAUGACACAUGGCAUAAAAUAUAGUUUUACAUUUUAAUAUUAAUUAUUUUCUACUAAUAAAAGGGAGCUUUUGAGGCUCCAUAGGGCGUCCACAUCAGCGGAAAAAAAUUAUCCCGAAAGAUGACACGUGGCAUAAAAUAUAGUUUUACAUUUUAAUAUUAAUUAUUUUCGAAAAUUGUAAAAAAUAUGUAAACAUACAGCAUUAAAAAAUGGAAGCGUCCACAUCAGCGGAAAAAAUUUAUCCCGAAAGAUGACACAUGGCAUAAAAUAUAGUUUUACAUUUUAAUAUUAAUUAUUUUCGAAAAUUGUAAAAAAUAUGUAAACAUACAGCAUUAAAAAAUGGAAAAACUACAUUAAACAUAUGUAAGAUUACUAUUUUUCACUUAAAAAAAAGACGGCUUAUUUCCAUAAUGCAACAUUACCGUUUUAUAAAAAAAAACAAAAAACAUUAUAUAUAAUUUCGAAAAUAAUAAAUAUAAGUAAAACAUACAACAUAAAAAUGGAAAUACUACAUUAAACAUAAAUAUGUUUGACUUCUCUACUAAUAAAAGAGAGCUUUUGAGGCUCCAUAGGGCGUCCACAUCAGCGGAAAAAAUUUAUCCCGAAAGAUGACACGUGGUAUAAAAUAUAAUUUUACAUUUUAAUAUUAAUUAUUUUAGAAAAUUGUAAAAAAUAUGUAAACAUACAGCAUUAAAAAAUGGAAAAACUACAUUAAACAUAUGUAAGAUUACUAUUUUUCACUUAAAAAAAAAGACGGCUUAUCUCCAUAAUGUAACAUUACCGUUUUAUAAAAAAAAAACAAAAAACAUUAUAUAUAAUUUCGAAAAUAAUAAAUAUAAGUAAAACAUACAACAUAAAAAUGGAAAUACUACAUUAAACAUAAAUAUGUUUGACUAUUUGUCCAAGUUCUUCUAUUAAACACUGCCGUUUUACAUUAAAAAUAGAAAAAUACGUAAAGAUUUAAACAUCUAUCUUAAAAUAUAAAAUAUAGACAUUAACUAAAUAAUAAAAGGGAGCUUUUGAGGCUCCAUAGGGCGUCCACAUCAGCGGAAAAAAAUUAUCCCGAAAGAUGACACGUGGCAUAAAAUAUAGUUUUACAUUUUAAUAUUAAUUAUUUUCGAAAAUUGUAAAAAAUAUGUAAACAUACAGCAUUAAAAAAUGGAAGCGUCCACAUCAGCGGAAAAAAUUUAUCCCGAAAGAUGACACAUGGCAUAAAAUAUAGUUUUACAUUUUAAUAUUAAUUAUUUUCUACUAAUAAAAGGGAGCUUUUGAGGCUCCAUAGGGCGUCCACAUCAGCGGAAAAAAAUUAUCCCGAAAGAUGACACGUGGCAUAAAAUAUAGUUUUACAUUUUAAUAUUAAUUAUUUUCGAAAAUUGUAAAAAAUAUGUAAACAUACAGCAUUAAAAAAUGGAAGCGUCCACAUCAGCGGAAAAAAUUUAUCCCGAAAGAUGACACAUGGCAUAAAAUAUAGUUUUACAUUUUAAUAUUAAUUAUUUUCGAAAAUUGUAAAAAAUAUGUAAACAUACAGCAUUAAAAAAUGGAAAAAACUACAUUAAACAUAUGUAAGAUUACUAUUUUUCACUUAAAAAAAAGACGGCUUAUUUCCAUAAUGCAACAUUACCGUUUUAUAAAAAAAAACAAAAAACAUUAUAUAUAAUUUCGAAAAUAAUAAAUAUAAGUAAAACAUACAACAUAAAAAUGGAAAUACUACAUUAAACAUAAAUAUGUUUGACUUCUCUACUAAUAAAAGAGAGCUUUUGAGGCUCCAUAGGGCGUCCACAUCAGCGGAAAAAAUUUAUCCCGAAAGAUGACACGUGGUAUAAAAUAUAAUUUUACAUUUUAAUAUUAAUUAUUUUAGAAAAUUGUAAAAAAUAUGUAAACAUACAGCAUUAAAAAAUGGAAAAACUACAUUAAACAUAUGUAAGAUUACUAUUUUUCACUUAAAAAAAAAGACGGCUUAUCUCCAUAAUGUAACAUUACCGUUUUAUAAAAAAAAAACAAAAAACAUUAUAUAUAAUUUCGAAAAUAAUAAAUAUAAGUAAAACAUACAACAUAAAAAUGGAAAUACUACAUUAAACAUAAAUAUGUUUGACUAUUUGUCCAAGUUCUUCUAUUAAACACUGCCGUUUUACAUUAAAAAUAGAAAAAUACGUAAAGAUUUAAACAUCUAUCUUAAAAUAUAAAAUAUAGACAUUAACUAAAUAUAAAGUAUAAAAAAGAGAAAUACUCAAUAUAUAAAAAAUAAAUAAUAAGUAAAUAUUAUAAAUAUAUAAAUAUAUGAAUUAUAUAUACAAUACUAAGUAAAUGCACAAUUUUUUAAAAAUGGAAAGAGUAUAUUAAAUAUUAAACAUAUAUCUUAAAAUGUAAAAUAUAGAUAUUAAGUAAAUAGAAAAUAUAAGAAAAAGAAAUACACAACUUAAAAACAAUGGAAAAAGUAUAUUAAGAUUUAAACAUCUAUCUUAAAAUGUAAAAUAUAGAUAUUACGCAAAUAGAAAGUAUAAGAAAAGGAAAUACACAAUUUAAGAAAAUAGAAAAAGUACAUUAGUAUUUAAACAUCUAUCUUAAAAUGUAAAUCAAUCUUAAAAUAUAAAAUUAUUAGUAAAUAGAAAGUAUAAGAAAUAAAAAUACACAAUAUAAAGAAAAAUAAAUAAUAAGUAAAUAUAUAAUAUAAUCUCGAAAGAUGACACAUGGCAUUAAAAUAUAGUUUUACAUUUUAAUAUUACUUAUUUUCGAAAAUUAUAAAAAAUAUGUAAACAUACAGCAUAAAAAAAAUGUAAAAACUACAUUAAACAUAUGUAAAAUUACUAUUUUUCACUUAAAAAAAGACGGCUUAUCUCCAUAAUGUAACAUUACCGUUUUAUAAAAAAACAAAAAA